rnacentral:misc_RNA from 1 species
GAUGAAGAACGUAGCGAAAUGCGAUAAGUAAUGUGAAUUGCAGAAUUCAGUGAAUCAUCGAAUCUUUGAACGCACAUUGCGCCCGCCAGUAUUCUGGCGGGCAUGCCUGUUCGAGCGUCAUUUCAACCAUCAAGCCCUGCUUGCGUUGGGGUCCUGCGGCUGCCCGCAGGCCCUGAAAACCAGUGGCGGGCUCGCUAGUCACACCGAGCGUAGUAGCAUACAUCUCGCUCUGGGCGUGCUGCGGGUUCCGGCCGUUAAACCACCUUCAUAACCCAAGGUUGACCUCGGAUCAGGUAGGAAGACCCGCUGAACUUAAGCAUAUCAAUAAGCGGAGGA